rnacentral:lncRNA from 1 species
UCUUCUCGUCGGAGAAGAUGAAGAAAUUCUAGAGAGAAGGCAGAGCAUCUCUCUCUAGAAAUAAGAGAAGAGAGAGAAAGAGAAAUAAAAAUGAAUAUAAAAAAACCGGAGCUGGCUAUUUAUAAAGGGAUUGAACCGGUUCAACCUUUAAACCGGUCUGAACCGGUCUAAUCCAGGCCCAUACGUUUUUUUCUAAGGCCCAAGCUCAAAUCUCUUUUAUUUUAUUCCUGCACCCCCCUGUUUACUUCCUGCACUCCGCAGCAUCUAAUUUUAUUUCCUUUUUCAUGCAUUUUAAUUUUCUCUUGCAUUUUCUAUUUUAUCUUACAUUAAAAGUACACAUAUCAAUCCAGAGUGCUCUGGUCCUCAAUUAAUUGUUAAUAUUAUAUUCUUGUUUAAUUUAAUUAUUCUCCAGAACAAUCUGGUCCUUGUUAACUAAAUUAAUCCAUAGUGCUCUGGUCCUAA